rnacentral:rRNA from 1 species
CGGUAAUACGGAGGAUGCAAGCGUUAUCCGGAUUCAUUGGGUUUAAAGGGUGCGCAGCCGGAGAAUUAAGUCAGUGGUGAAAUCCUGCAGCUUAACUGUAGAAUUGUCAUUGAUACUGGUUUUCUUGAAUGCAGUUGAGGUAGNCGGAAUGUGUAAUGUANCGGUGAAAUGCUUAGAUAUUACCCAGAACACCGAUUGCGAAGGCAGCUUACUAAACUGUGAUUGACGCUGAGGCACGAAAGCGUGGGGAGCGAACAGGAUUAGAUACCCUGGUAGUCCACGCUGUAAACUAUGAUCACUCGUUGUUGGCAAUACAUCGUCAGCGACUGAGCGAAAGCAUUAAGUGAUCCACCUGGGGAGUACGAUCGCAAGAUUGAAACUCAAAGGAAUUGACGGGGGCCCGCACAAGCGGAGGAACAUGUGGUUUAAUUCGAUGAUACGCGAGGAACCUUACCUGGGCUUAAAUGCAUAACGACGGACCGGGAAACUGGUCUUUCUUCGGACGGCAUGCAAGGUGCUGCAUGGCUGUCGUCAGCUCGUGCCGUGAGGUGUCGGGUUAAGUCCCAUAACGAGCGCAACCCUUAUCAUUAGUUGCCAGCGGGUAAUGCCGGGGACUCUAAUGAAACUGCCGGUGUAAACCGAGAGGAAGGUGGGGAUGACGUCAAGUCAGCACGGCCCUUAUGUCCAGGGCUACACACGUGUUACAAUGGUCAGUACAGAGGGAAGCUACCAGGCGACUGGAUGCUAAUCUCAAAAACUGGUCUCAGUUCGGAUCGGAGUCUGCAACUCGACUUCGUGAAGUUGGAUUCGCUAGUAAUCGCGCAUCAGCCAUGGCGCGGUGAAUACGUUCCCGGGCCUUGUACACACCGCCCGUCAAGCCAUGGAGCCGGGGUACCUGAAGUUCGUAACCGCAAGGAGCGACCUAGGGUAAACUGUAACUGGG